GUGGGGAAUAUUGGACAAUGGGCGAAAGCCUGAUCCAGCAAUGCCGCGUGAGUGAUGAAGGCCUUAGGGUUGUAAAGCUCUUUUACCAGGGAUGAUAAUGACAGUACCUGGAGAAUAAGCUCCGGCUAACUCCGUGCCAGCAGCCGCGGUAAUACGGAGGGAGCUAGCGUUGUUCGGAAUUACUGGGCGUAAAGCGCACGUAGGCGGUUACUCAAGUCAGAGGUGAAAGCCCGGGGCUCAACCCCGGAACUGCCUUUGAAACUAGGUAACUAGAAUCUUGGAGAGGUCAGUGGAAUUCCGAGUGUAGAGGUGAAAUUCGUAGAUAUUCGGAAGAACACCAGUGGCGAAGGCGACUGACUGGACAAGUAUUGACGCUGAGGUGCGAAAGCGUGGGGAGCAAACAGGAUUAGAAACCCGAGUAGUCC
rnacentral:rRNA from 1 species